AGGUAACCUUUAAAUGGGCCUAACAUAUUGGGCUGGCCUCUAAGAGUAAAUGAGAUUUCUGAUGGAAGCAAACAGAGUUGUACUCUUGGUCGGAUCACCGAGCUCAGCACCGUGAACAACGCCGUCAGUAAAACGCUCCACCACAUCAACUCCCUUCUCCUUCAUCAGCUUCGCCACAUCUCUCUGCCUAUCUAUCAUCGGAUCUCCUCCUCCUCCACUCACCACCACCUUCCACCCCAACCGUCCGAUCAUCUCCAUAUUCACCGGUCCAUCUCCCACCGUCAGAUUAGAAUACUCAUGAUCCCGGUUAGCUCCGACAGGGAGACAAAGCUCCCAGCAAACGUCUCCGGCACUAGGCGGAAAAACAUGAUCGUUCUCAAGUCUGAUCUCGGACUCGCACCGCUCUUCGCCGCCGAAGAACGGAUGGUGCAAGAUCAUCCCACGGAUACAUAACGGACUCAGGUCCGCCAAGGCGGAUCUGAGCCCGACGUUGUAGGCCAAGUUACCACCGGCGCUUGUCCCCAUGAGGAACACGUUGGAGAGAUCAGCGUGAGACUUGAUCCACUCGUCGUCUGAGGUUCUAAUAAACCUCAGAGCGUCCACUCCGUCGUCGUAAGCCGCCGGGAGUCUGUGCUCCGGAGCCAGCCGGUAGGAAGGCGACGCGACGACCGCGUUGAGCUCACGCGCCAUACGGUUGCAGAAGUCGUGGAAGGGUUUGAAGUCGACGCUGCAGAUGACGAAGCCUCCGCCGUGGUAGUAGACGACGAGAGGGAGUUUUUUAGACGAAACGCCGUCGUUUAGUGCGGUAACGGGGACGUAGAGACGCAUCCACGUGGAGUUUGAGUGGCUCACGGUGAUGUCUUUGGAUACGACGGUGUUUACCGGGGAGGGGUCAGGUGUGGCUGAGGCGUACGGGAAUCUGGUGGGGUCGCGAGUGAUGGAGCCAUCUGGGUUCUUUACGAUGCCUAUGUGAGCGUAAGGAUCAGAGACUGGAGAUGGUUCGGACAUUAUUCGAAGUCUUGUGUUGUGUAUGAAACUGAAUCCUUCAGUCUUCUCCGAUUUUAUAGGCAAUAAAAAAAGAAAAUAGCAAUUAAAUAUUUCAAUUUAUUUUAUCUUGAAAAGCUUGGAUAAUAGUCUAAUACUUUGUUUAGUGGGUCCGAAAUUGACUUAAUUGAAUUCAUUGUUUUCGUAAUUAUUUGUAAAAAUAGGAUUUGGGCUGACAAAAAAAAACUUUUUUGAAGGUAAUUACUGUCAAUAAAAUGUUUUUUUGAAACUUAAUAAAAUGUUUUCGUUUUGUUAAAAUGCAAACUAAUAACAGAACAGAUCAUAGUUUUAAGUUAACACUGAAAUAAUUCUUAUAUUUGAUGUGAAUGAUUUAACACAGUUUACUUGAUGAAACAUUGUAAUGCAAAACUCAAGUGGAAAAAGAAUGAGACACUAAAGGAAACAAUGACAUUGCAACCAGGGAAAACGUAGUGCUCUUUGCUUUCUCUUUUUGUGCACUAAAGAGAACAAGAGACUUUUUCUGGUACACAAGUAGUUGGCACGUCUCUUUCAUUGGUUGAGAAGUUCGCAGAAAAUUCAAUGCUCAAAACUAAUUUGAAGAUUGGCAAAUCAAAUAUCAGGCAAACAAAAAGAUAGCAAAGCGUUAAUGACUAUAAUUAAAAUCUAUUUCGGAAGAUUGGCAACUAACUCAUUUGAUGUCGUCUUUGCUAAAAAUCUACACCGAUAAUGAUGGGAGAGAUCCAACAAUUAUGCGUAUAAUUUGCCUUCUCUAAAAGUUGAAACCAGAUCUCGUUUAAAUCACUAAACAGGCCUUUCACAACAUUGAAGUAUAGAAAUGUCCAUGCCAUGUUCUACAAGAGAACGAGACAUGUCUAACAAAAGAGAGAGCCAGCCUCUUGGGCUUCUUAUUUAUAAUUUUUCCACGAAUCAAUACAUAAAGGUAAUCCUUAAAUGGGCCUACAAUAUUGGGCUGGGGGAUGGGCCUCUAGUAUAAGCCUCCUUAUUUUAUGGAUGUCUUUUAAAAACGAUACGGUGUAGAUGAAAUGAAACUUUUGAUGGAAGCAAACAGAGUUUGGCUCUUGGACGGAUCACCGAGCUCAGCACCGUGAACAUCGCCGUCGGUAAAACGCUCCACCACAUUAAUUCCCUUCUCCUUCAUCAACUUUGCCACAUUUUUCUGCCUGUCUAUCAUCGGAUCUCCUCCUCCUCCACACACCAUCACCUUCCACUUCAACGCUCCGAGUACCUCCAGUCCAUCUCCCAUUGUCGGAUUCGAAUACGCAUGGUCCCUAUUCUCUCCGACAGGGAGACAAAGCUCCCAACAAAGGUCUCCGACAGCAGGCGGAAAAACCUGAUCGUUCUCAUGUCUGAUCUCGGACUCGCACCGCUCUUCCCCGCCGAAGAACG
rnacentral:lncRNA from 1 species